UUCAACAACUAAAUGAUAACGAUAUGCUGUCAAGUAGGACAUGCGCGCGUUCAUGAUAAUUAUAAUACGUCAUUGGCAACUAUAGUUAGUUGAUUCAUCGGAUAUUGUACUAGUAUUUGAUUUUUUAAUUCCAAUCAUAAUGGGUGGUAACAGAAGAUACGGAUAUUUUCAGUGUUCAUCUUGCAGACAGAAGUGGGAGAGUUCACAUGUUUACGUGAAGAAAGGAACGGAAAAGGUGGAGUAUGGACAAGAGUGUAAAAGGUGUAAAAUCGUUUGUUAUCCAUACCGGGUGGAACCAAUCCGAUGUUCUCGCUGUGGCCAAACUGACUGUGACUGUCAAAAAGACAGACAUAUUGAUCUAACUAAAGCCCACAGAGCUGAUCUGUGUAUGAGAUGUAGAGCAGGGAAACUCUGUGAUACACGCAAUUAGUAGACGAAUACAUAAAACACGACCAAAAGUAUUCAAAAUGUUAUUUACAUCACCAACUAAAUUGUAACUGAAAUCAGUGAUUUAUUUAUAUUUUAAAUAGUCAACUUUACUUUUUGUCUUUAAUUUUAUUAAUGUGAUAUAAUGUGAUACAACGUCAAUAUUUCGUAGCUCUGAAUUUACGAGGUCUUUUAAUAAAUCAAAACUUACAGUGCUUUAUUUAUAUUUUAAAUAUUCAACUUUACUUUUUGUCUUUAAUUUUGUUAAUGUGAUAUAGAUAUCAAAAUAUGAAUUAUAUACAUUUUUGAUACUCAUUUUGUAAUAUGUGAUAAUCUGAAACAACUGUCAAAAUGUGAAUUAUAAUCUAUAGAUUGAAGCUUUA